GACGAACGCUGGCGGCGUGCUUAACACAUGCAAGUCGAACGGGCCCGCUCUCUUUUUUGGGGGUGGGUUGAGUGGCGAACGGGUGAGUAUCACGUGAGUAACCUGCCCCCUGCUCCUGGAUAACUGCUUGAAAGGGCGGCUAAUACGGGGUGUGCCGGCUGGUCCGCAUGGGCCUGGUCGGGAUAGUUUCAUCUUCGGGUGUUUCGGUGGGGGAUGGGCUCGCGACCUAUCAGCUUGUUGGUGGGGUGAUGGCCCACCAAGGCGGUGACGGGUAGCCGGCCUGAGAGGGUGGGCGGCCACACUGGGACUGAGACACGGCCCAGACUCCUGCGGGAGGCAGCAGUGGGGGGUAUUGCACAAUGGGCGGAAGCCUGAUGCAGCGACGUCGCGUGAGGGAUGGAGGCCUUCGGGUUGUGAACCUCUUUCUCCGGUGGUGAAGGCCCUGUCCGUUGCGGCGGGGUUGACGGUAGCCGGGUAUGAAGCGCCGGCUAACUACGUG
rnacentral:rRNA from 1 species